rnacentral:rRNA from 1 species
AUGUGUUCUCAUUUUGAUUUGUAUCCACUUGUAGGAACUAAAAAUGUACGCAUGUGUUCUCCUUUUGAUCUGUAUCUACUACUAUCUAAAUCUUAUUAUCUAGGUGCCAAAAAAAUGUGCGCCGAGACGCCGCCCCCGCGGCCGAACUCCUGCCUCCGCUUGGCUCCGUCCGCAGCAGCACACCACCUCCCUCGCCAUCCACCUGCCUGUGUUCAUAUUCUGCAGCAGUUUGGAGUGUAUUUAUAUAGAAGAAGAAAAAACAACGGCACCUGCACCGGAGCAGCAGGACAACGCACCCUCCCAGCGAUGGCGCAGCAGCGCAUUCGCCGUCUGUGCACAUGUGUGUGA